CAAGUCGAACGAGAAAGCAGGAGCAAUCCUGUGAGUAAAGUGGCGUACGGGUGAGUAACACGUGGAUCAUCUACCCUCUAGUGGGGGAUAACCCUGGGAAACCGGGGCUAAUACCGCAUAAGCUCGAGAGAGGAAAGCAGCAAUGCGCUGGAGGAGGAGUCCGCGGCCGAUUAGCUAGUUGGUAGGGUAAAAGCCUACCAAGGCUACGAUCGGUAGCCGGCCUGAGAGGGCACACGGCCACACUGGCACUGAAACACGGGCCAGACUCCUACGGGAGGCAGCAGUGGGGAAUCUUGCACAAUGGGGGCAACCCUGAUGCAGCGACGCCGCGUGAGCGAUGAAGCCCUUCGGGGUGUAAAGCUCUUUCGGCAGGGAAGAUUAUGACGGUACCUGCAGAAGCAGCUGCGGCUAACUACGUGCCAGCAGCCGCGGUAAUACGUAGGCAGCAAGCGUUGUUCGGAGUUACUGGGCGUAAAGGGUGUGUAGGCGGUUCUCUAAGUCUGGUGUGAAAUCUCCCGGCUCAACUGGGAGGGUGCGCCGAAAACUGGAGGGCUAGAGUGCGGGAUGGGAGAGUGGAAUUCCUGGUGUAGCGGUGAAAUGCGUAGAUAUCAGGAGGAACACCUGUGGUGUAGACGGCUCUCUGGACCGCAACUGACGCUGAGACACGAAAGCGUGGGUAGCAAACAGGAUUAGAUACCCUGGUAGUCCACGCCCUAAACGAUGCAUAUUUGGUGUGGGCCAUUCAUUUGGUCUGUGCCGGAGCUAACGCGUUAAAUAUGCCGCCUGGGGAGUACGGUCGCAAGGCUGAAACUCAGAGGAAUUGACGGGGGCCCGCACAAGCGGUGGAGCAUGUGGUUCAUUC
rnacentral:rRNA from 1 species